rnacentral:rRNA from 1 species
GACGAACGCUGGCGGCGUGCUUAACACAUGCAAGUCGAACGGAAAGGCCCUGCUUUUGUGGGGUGCUCGAGUGGCGAACGGGUGAGUAACACGUGAGUAACCUGCACUUGACCUUGGGAUAACCUAAGGAAACUGGGGCUAAUACCGGAUAGGAGCUACUGCUGCAUGGUGGGGGCUGGAAAGUUUCGAUGGUUGGGGAUGGACUAGCGGCCUAUCAGCUUGUUGGUUUGGUAGUGGCUUACCAUGGCCUUGACGGGUAGCCGGCCUGGGAGGAUGAGCGGCCACGUUGGAACUGGGAUGAGGCCCGGACUCCAACGGGAGGGGAGGGAGCGGAAGGGUGCACAAUGGGCGGGGGGCUGGUGCAACAACGCCGCGUGCGGUGUGACGGCAUGCGGUUUGGAAUCCGCUGUCGCCUGUGACGAAGCGUGAGUGACGGUAAUGGGUGAAUAAGCACCGGCUAACUACGUG